GACCUGGUGGUGAAAGGCAUCGUACCCGUGUUUGCUAGGAAGAGCGUUCAAACGUAUGAACGGGCCGUUGCUGGUUCGAAUCCGGCCCAGGUUG